AGUGCAUAAACAGUAGCGUGUACGCCGGUAGGUGCGACGCCAGACGUCUCUGUUGUUUUAACAAACGUUUUUGGAAACUAUACUCAGGCCAAAAAAGCAGGAGGGAAAUCAUUAUGGCCAGAAGAAAACACUCGUUGGCAAAGAGGCCGCUGGCAUCUGUGGUAUGACGUGAACAUCCUAGCUACUGAAUAGUGGUUACGGGCAGAUGAGAAAUAAUCAGAUGAGAAAUAAUCAGAGUGACUUGAACCGAAUAAGGUGAGCGGAACGAUUAACUGCAUUAUAAAACAGAAAAAAGCGACAAGCCUCGUGAUCAGCGUCACGCACGCAUGACUCGCACCUCAGGUCCUGGAUGGAUUCUCUGGAGACCAAACUCCAGUCUUAAUUAAUUCCGAUUCCCAGCGACAGCGAAGAUCCGUCCUUCCAGAGCGGAGAGGCGAGCCCGCCUUACCACCGAAGUAAAUGUUGCAGCGGCAGCGAAGGCUUCCAGGACCCCGCAUUUAGGCCUGGACCCGCCGCCGGCCUCCCGACCAUGAACCGCAUCCGCAUUACGGCCAACGGCGUCUCUACGUCAUUGCUUCGCGGCGUCGUAUUGGUAACCGUGGUGACCAUCUUGAUCGUCGUGGCCUUCUUCGGCUACUCCUUCCUCAAUGACAACCUCCACCGCGGCUUCCUGGGGCGGCAAGUGCACCACCCGCGCCAGAAGGUGCACCACGCCAUGGCCAACGUGAAGAACGCCAACGCCGUCCCCGACCAAGCGAAAUCUCACGUAGGAAACAUUUACAUUGACAACAUUCAUCACGACGAUGAGGACUACUAUGAAGACGAAUAUGACUAUGAGGAGGAUGAAGAUGAUGAUGAGGAAGAUGAUGAUGAUGAUGAUGACGAUGAUGAUGACGACGAUGACGAUGAUGAUGAUGAUGAUGAUGAUGAUGACUAUUACGGUGAGGAUUAUGAUAGACAUGCGUUGAGAUAGUGGGCCAUCUGCAUACAAAAAUGAAAAUCGAUUAUCAUGUGUCCGAGAUGUCAAGCUAUACUGGCGAAACCUAAGUAAACCAGGCGCCAGGCAGUAAGCUUCGUUCUCACACCUCUUACAAACUGGAGAGCCUUCCAAUGGAAUCAACAGACAAGACUCGCCAUUUUAGUGAUAUAGACUUUAAUGUCAUAGCCAAACAGCUGAAGUCUGAAACACUGUUAUCUGUAAUUUUGCGUGUGUUUGUGAGUUUAUGCGUGUGCGCGCGUGUGUGUGACUGUGUGCGUCAUUCUUCCUUUCAAGCAAAGUUUUCGCAAAUUUAUGUAUAAUGAUACUGUGUGCUUUAUGUGAUUUAUUUCAAUCGUGUGGAUAUGUGAUAGGUACAAUGUUGAUAAAUAAAAUGUAAGUUGAUACA